AGAUAGCGAGAAUCAGAAAGACCCUUCGCCAGAUAGUUCUGAUUUGAAACACCAAAGAUCCUCUAGCAAGUGGAAUGAUGAUAUAUCACAGGCUGGAAGUACCAUAGAAGGUAUCUCAAUGUCAGAUGAAAUGGACCUCCUGGCUGAGCAAGUUAAGAUGCUUAGCGGAGAGAUUGCAUUCAGCAGCAGUACAUUGAAGCGGUUGAUGG
rnacentral:misc_RNA from 1 species